rnacentral:rRNA from 1 species
AUUGAACGCUGGCGGCAGGCCUAACACAUGCAAGUCGAACGGUAGCAGGUUAAGCUGACGAGUGGCGAACGGGUGAGCAAUGUAUCGGAACGUGCACAGUCGUGGGGGAUAACUACUCGAAAGAGUGGCUAAUACCGCAUACGACCUGAGGGUGAAAGCGGGGGACCGUAAGGCCGCGCGCGAUUGGAACGGACGAUAUCAGAUUAGCUAGUUGGUGGGGUAAAAGCCCACCAAGGCGACGAUCUGUAGCUGGUCUGAGAGGACGACCAGCCACACUGGGACUGAGACACGGCCCAGACUCCUACGGGAGGCAGCAGUGGGGAAUUUUGGACAAUGGACGCAAGUCUGAUCCAGCCAUGCCGCGUGCGGGAAGAAGGCCUUCGGGUUGUAAACCGCUUUUGUCAGGGAAGAAACGAGUUUCUCUAAUACAGAGACUUAAUGACGGUACCUGAAGAAUAAGCACCGGCUAACUACGUGCCAGCAGCCGCCGUAAAAC